rnacentral:piRNA from 1 species
GAUUCUCUCAUCUAUCUUCUU